GCUGCACUUUGAUGAUAGUUUGGCUCCCUCUACUGAUACUUGUGAAGAAAGCAGCCCACCAGUAUUUGAGUAUAUAGC
rnacentral:snoRNA from 1 species